GCCCCCCCCAGACCAGCACAGCCCCCCACGGACCAGCACAGCUGCCCACAGACUAAGGGAGGCCCCUCACCUGAGCUGCUGGAUGGCCAGCUGCAGCAAGGAGAAAGCUGGACUGCGGUCCCUCAGGCACCUGCCAGGUGCUGUCCGGCCUCUCCCUCCCCCUCGGUUAGUCACCACCCACCUCCACCCGGACCUCACCAGGCAGGUGACAGAGCCUGGGAAAGGAGUCCCCUGUGAGCUGGCACUGCCCACCCCCGUCCACAGACUGGCCAACAGAGGUUUAGUGGGGUUGAGUUCAGGCCCCUGCCUAGGGGGUCAUCCCCCACUAUCUAGGUUCACACUCUACCCCCCCCACCACCCCCUCGGUUAGUCACCACCCACCUCCACCUGGACCUCACCAGGCAGGUGACAGAGCCUGGGAAAGGAGUCCCCUGUGAGCUGGCACUGCCCACCCCCGUCCACAGACUGGCCAACAGAGGUUUAGUGGGGUUGAGUUCAGGCCCCUGCCUAGGGGGUCAUCCCCCACUAUCUAGGUUCACACUCUACCCCCCCCACCACCACCCAGGGUCAUCUGUUACCUGCUGCCCAAGGUGGCCCCUGCCCCACCUGCCCCACUCGGUGACCGGUGACCGCGCAGCUGGGCCCCCACCUGUCCCUUGAGGCUGCUCAGACUUUGCCCUCUAACCCCGCCCUCCCCCAGCAGGAAGCUGGGUGCUGGGCUCAGGUUCAGGGCAGGUCGGAGUCUGGUGACCCAGGGCUUGGCUAGAGCAAAGGCCGGAGGAGGCCCGACCAGCCCGCGUCCGGGGAGGAGGGUGAGGUUCAGCUCCUUAGCGCUGCUGUGUUUGGUUGUGUCAGGCAUGCGAUAAAAUCGCCCCGUUUCUGUGCACGUGUGUAGACUCGAACACCCCCCAGUCCGAAUUACCUGGCACCCCUCCCAUGCCCCCUGGGGUUGCACCCUGCCCCCACCGGCCCCAGGGCGCCAACGAUGACCUCUGGUCACAGUCUCUGGGAGAAGGCCACACACGGGGGAGAGCCAGAGCCUGGGAGGCAAAGCGCAAGGCCCAGCAGCCACCACGGGCUCCCCAGUCCCUCCUCUGGGCCGAGGCAGUCCGUCUAGACGCGCCGUGGUUUGCGUGGCCUGCCCCUGUCAAGGCAUCUAGGGACCUCCCGCUCGGACUGCAAAGAGCUGCUGAGACCUCCUGGCCACCAACCUGUUCUCCACAUACACGAGUUUGGCUCUGUCGUUGCUGUUGUUGGAACCCAUAUCCACGUGUAAGAGACCACGAGACUGGGGCGCCUGCGUGGCUCAGCCGGUGAAGCAUCUGCCUUCGGCUCAGGUCACGAUCCCAGGGUCCUGGGAUCGAGCCCCAUGUCGGGCUCCUUGUUCGGCAGGGAAUUUGCUUCUCCCUCUCCCUCUACCUCCUGGUCCCCUACUUGUGCUCUCUCGCUAUCUCUUGCUCUCUGUCAAAUAAAUAAAUAAAAUCUUAAAAAAA
rnacentral:lncRNA from 1 species